UUUUAUAAAUAAUUUGAUUGAGGUUAUUUAAAUAUAAAAAGAUUAAAAUAAAAUUAUAUAUUUUUGUGGGGGGGAAGAAAAAUAAAUAUUACUUUUUUUAAAAAUUAAAACAUUUAUAAGUGAUUAAAUGAUCCCAAUAUUAUUGAUUAUAA
rnacentral:rRNA from 1 species